rnacentral:rRNA from 1 species
AGAUGGUUAUCUUGUACUGAAUACAUAGGUGCAAGAGGCGAACCAGGGGAACUGAAACAUCUAAGUACCCUGAGGAAAAGAAAUCAACCGAGAUUCCCUUAGUAGUGGCGAGCGAACGGGGACUAGCCCUUAAGUGGCUUUGAGAUUAGCGGAACGCUCUGGAAAGUGCGGCCAUAGUGGGUGAUAGCCCUGUACGCGAAAAUCUCUUAGUCAUGAAAUCGAGUAGGACGGAGCACGAGAAACUUUGUCUGAAUAUGGGGGGACCAUCCUCCAAGGCUAAAUACUACUGACUGACCGAUAGUGAACUAGUACCGUGAGGGAAAGGCGAAAAGAACCCCGGAGAGGGGAGUGAAAUAGAUCCUGAAACCGUAUGCGUACAAGCAG